UUCUCCAGGGAACAAAGUACAAACUGCUAUUAUAAGCAUGGCAAUGUUUUCUCAGUGUACAGAUAGAGGAAAUUUCUCCCUGAAAAUGUCACAAUCAUCUAGUAACCACGACUGAGGACACUCUACAGGAGAGGACCAUCCAUCUCCACCCACUGCCGUGUGACUUGCUGUUCAUCCUUGAUCAAUCUUUUCAAAAUAUUCACUUCCCUUCUCAAGAACUACACUGCCUCUCCACUGUCCAACAGAUUAAAUCCUGCUCAUUCUGCUCUAUCAGGUACCGCUUUACGUUUCCUAAGUUGCCA
rnacentral:lncRNA from 1 species